AAUCCAAGGGGUCUCGGGUUCGAAUUACUGCGAAUCCAACUUUUUUUUAAUUUCGUAAUAUUGCGCAAUUUGAUGUAUUAUUGUAGCUGAUUAGAAAUUAUAAUGGACAAGACAUAAAUAGCUCAGUUAGUAUAGAGUUAGACAGAUAAUUACAAGGUUUUGAGUUCGAUUCCUAUCACCGCCUUUUAUAUUGAGAAUGCAGUUGUUCUUAAAUCUGAACUGGUGAGAUCUCGAGUGGCCAUAGAGAUUGAGGACCCACGAAGAUUGACGGGCAACUGAGUGCUGCCAAAUAUUCUCAAAACAUUUCUCGGUUUUGGGACUCUUUCAUCUAUUCAUGACUUACAGUAAUAUCGAACAACAAUGACCUGUCUGUCCUGUUGAUUCGCCAAAGGCUCAUGAGUCGAAGACGAAUUCAGGAUUGAAGGUCGUGCCGAUGAUUCUCCUCGAUAGACACAUACCUAUAAACGAUAUAAGCUGUCGUGAAAGAGGAGAUGCUGUAAGAAUAGAUCGGAUUGUAGUCGGAAUGAAAACGGGGAAUGUUUUGCACUUAUUUUUAUCAAUUCUGUAAAUAUUCUGAAUCCAAGAAUUAUUAUGAAGGCAUAGUCGAAUAUUGGGGUGUUGAAAACAAAUAUUUCCAUGCCAUAAUAACAACGUUUACGUUCACGUCUUUGUUAAAAUUACCAACGCUUGAUUAACGUUAAACGUUGUCGUAUACGUGUGAUAUUUUUUGAUAAUUAAGACACAAACCGAACAUGUUUACGAUAACAUUAAAGUUUUAAUAGCGAUCUCUAAAUGAAAAUCCAUAAUGGAGUGUUCAGAUAUUUUAGUAGACUUGGAACAAUUAGGUGUAUCUCUUUUAUGUGCGUAUAAUAGUUGAAUACAGUUGGGGUAUGCAAAAUGUAUUUGGUAAUAAUUUUUAAAAUCUUUGCCAUGCGCCAAUUGGCUUGGUCCAGAAAUGAAAAGCUACAUUUGGGGUAUCUAAAAACUAGGGAAUUUAUAAUAGCUAUUUAUGUAAUAAGUACAUAAUGCAGGUCUUUAUUGGACGAGCCCUAAGUUUAUGGACGAGCGAGCUUGCGAGCGAGUCUCAUAAAUAGGACAAGUCCAAAAAGCCUAAUUAUGUACGAAUUGCAUACAAAGCUUUAUGUUCGACUGCCGAAAUUGGUUUAUUAAUGAAUUUAAUAAACUUCAAUAAAUUAAUAAAUUUUAAUGAAACGCACCAAGUGUGCUUUUUCGGUUGUUUGGUUACGGAAUUGUUUAUUAUUUUUGUGAUGUGAAAAUUGUGUUUGAAAGCAAAAUGCAAACGUGCAGUUCAAAUAAAGAAGAAACUUGCAGCGAAAUAUCAAAUAUUGCUGCUGAUGCGAAAGAUUCUCUGUUACCAUCAAAAUCCAAGCAUUUGUACGAAGAAACAUAUAAUGCGUAUCGGAAAUGGCGUUCUAAUAAGAAAAUUGAUACAACUUGCGAAGAUACCAUUCUAGCGUACUUCAGCAGCGAGCUGUCCCGGUAUAAAAGUUCAUCAUUAUGGAGCAAAUAUUCUAUGCUAAGAUCAACCAUCAAUCUACGAGAGGGAAUUGACAUUAGUAAAUUUCCAAGCGUCAUACCUUAUUUGAAACGAAAAGGUGAAGGACACAAACCAAAAAAAUCUCUUAUAUUGAGUAAAGACCAUAUAGACGAAUUUUUGAGAAAAGCUGACACCAAGGAACAUUUAUUUAAUAAGGUUGUUCUCAUAUUUGGAGUAUGAGAAUAUUGGUGCAUGUAGACGUCAAGAGCUAGUGACAUUAACGACAACAUGUGUUCAAGACAGCAAAACCCAUUUUUUAAUUAAGCUGGAAGACACCAAAACCAAAGUGGAUCGAUGUUUUAUAAUAACAGCAGGUAAACUCGAAAAUGUUAAUCUACUUGAACUUGUCAGAAGAUGUAUGGAAAUUCGACCCACCAAGACACCGCACAACAGAUUUUUUAUCAACUACACCAAGGAAAAAUGUACCAUUCAACCAGUUGGAAUCCACAAAAUUGGGGGUGUGCCUGCUAUAGUGGCCAAGUAUUUGGGUCUUGAAAAUGCUUCUUCAUAUACAGGUCACUGCUUCAGACGUAGCUCAGCUUCUCUUCUGGCAAAUGCAGAGGCCACUAUGGAAAGGAUAAAAAGACACGGAGGUUGGCGUUCAACUACAGUGGCAGAAGGUUAUAUCGAAGAAUGUGAAAAUACUAAAAUUAAGGUUGCAAACUUGAUCUUGGGUGAAGAACCAUUGGCCUGCAAUAGCAUCUCUUCGGAAAAUCACGAAAAAUUUACAAGUUUGCGUGGAACCGAGAGUGAAGCAAAAAACAACGAAGUUGUAGGAAUGAAUAUUUGUGGCAACAAUAAUAGUGUUAUAAAUGUAAAUCAUUAUUACAACAAGCAAUAGUAUGUUUAUAUGGUUACAAUGUUACAAAGUUGAUAUGUAUGUAUUAUUAUAACUUCAAAUAAAUUUUGACAUUUCUGAAAAUAAA